GAUGAAGAACGUAGCGAAAUGCGAUACGUAAUGUGAAUUGCAGAAUUCAGUGAAUCAUCGAAUCUUUGAACGCACAUUGCGCCCGCCAGCACUCUGGCGGGCAUGCCUGUUCGAGCGUCAUUUCAACCAUCAAGCCCCAGGCUUGCGUUGGAGCCCUGCGGCUGCCGCAGCCUCCUAAAAGCAGUGGCGGGCUCGCUAUCACACCGAGUGCAGUAGAUUACUCUUCGCUCAGGGCGUGCAGCGGGUUCCGGCCGUGAAACCCCCCCAGUUUGACCUCGGAUCAGGUAGGGAUACCCGCUGAACUUAAGCAUAUCAAUAAGCGGAGGA
rnacentral:misc_RNA from 1 species